rnacentral:rRNA from 1 species
AGGGGCAGCGGGGUAGUGCUUGCACUACUGCCGGCGACCGGCGCACGGGUGAGUAACACGUAUGGAACCUGCCCGCAGCAGGGGGAUAAGCGGAAGAAAUUCCGUCUAAUACCGCGUAACAACGUUGGGAGGCAUCUCCCGAUGUUUAAAGAUUUAUCGGCUGCGGAUGGCCAUGCGGCGCAUUAGCUAGUCGGCGGGGUAACGGCCCACCGAGGCGACGAUGCGUAGGGGUUCUGAGAGGAAGGUCCCCCACACUGGUACUGAGACACGGACCAGACUCCUACGGGAGGCAGCAGUGAGGAAUAUUGGUCAAUGGCCGAGAGGCUGAACCAGCCAAGUCGCGUGAGGGAAGACGGCCCUACGGGUUGUAAACCUCUUUUGUCGGGGAGCAAAGCGAACCACGUGUGGUUCAUUGAGAGUACCCGAAGAAAAAGCAUCGGCUAACUCCGUGCCAGCAGCCGCGGUAAUACGGAGGAUGCGAGCGUUAACCGGAUUUAUUGGGUUUAAAGGGUGCGCAGGCGGAGGUGCAAGUCAGCGGUCAAAUUGCGGGGCUCAACCCCGUACUGCCGUUGAAACUGCAUCCCUUGAGUGCGCGAGAAGUAUGCGGAAUGCGUGGUGUAGCGGUGAAAUGCAUAGAUAUCACGCAGAACUCCGAUUGCGAAGGCAGCAUACCGGCGCGCAACUGACGCUCAUGCACGAAAGCGUGGGUAUCGAACAGGAUUAGAUACCCUGGUAGUCCACGCAGUAAACGAUGAACACUAACUGUUCGGCCAGAAUGAUGGCUGAGUGGUACAGCGAAAGCGUUAAGUGUUCCACCUGGGGAGUACGCCGGCAACGGUGAAACUCAAAGGAAUUGACGGGGGCCCGCACAAGCGGAGGAACAUGUGGUUUAAUUCGAUGAUACGCGAGGAACCUUACCCGGGCUCAAACGACACAGGAAUACUUUUGAAAGGAGGUAGCCCUACGGGGUCUGUGUCGAGGUGCUGCAUGGUUGUCGUCAGCUCGUGCCGUGAGGUGUCGGCUUAAGUGCCAUAACGAGCGCAACCCCUAUCGCCAGUUACCAUCAAGUAAAGUUGGGGACUCUGGCGAGACUGCCGGCGCAAGCUGAGAGGAAGGCGGGGAUGACGUCAAAUCAGCACGGCCCUUACGUCCGGGGCGACACACGUGUUACAAUGGCAGGUACAGAGAGAAGCCAGGUGGCGACACCGCGCGGAACUCGAAAGCCUGUCUCAGUUCGGAUCGGAGUCUGCAACCCGACUCCGUGAAGCUGGAUUCGCUAGUAAUCGCGCAUCAGCC